AUAAUGCUGAAUGAUCUGCUAAUUUGUGACCAACUGUCAGCUGAACGCCCAUUAAAAUGUAAAAACAAGCAAGAAGUAUUAUGAGAAUUUUUAUCUGUAAGAGAAGCCAUUGAUUUCAUGCCAAUACUUUUCAAGGUCGUUUUUAAUUGAAAUUCUUUGUAAAUAAAUGUAUUCCUGAUUAUUUAUUUAUUCGCAAGUCACAGUUAAACUAUCAGCCUUCAUUUUAUUCUCAACCCAGUACUUUACACUUUUUUUCUAAGUAUCAAAAUAUAGAAGAAAAAAACUAUAAAAUGUGGCACUUUGCCAUCAGAUAUCUGCCGCUCGUUAAUGUUUCCUUUUAUCAACAAAUCAGCAUCAAAGCAACACCAAAUUCAGUGAUCAGAAAAUCAGAACUAUCCUUUUAAAGAAAGUGUAUUAAUAUUCACACUAUUUGGUUAAUACUGGACAGAAAAGAACAGAAAGCAUUUUAAAACUUAAAUCUCACAGCAGCUGUAUACAGACCAGGAGAAAGAAAACUCCUGUAUCAGUCAUCGAUUCAAUCUAUACCCUCCAGGACCACGGGCGAGCAGUCUUAGUGCAGGCCCUCCAGGAGGUGGGUUGAGAGCUCAAGGAUAGUGAUCUCACAACCACAAGCCACCAUUCUGUUCCAUGACGCACUUUGAUAGACUGGCUUUUCAGGUUUAUAGUUACAGGGUGUGUGCUUUACAGUAAACAGUAUGAGUGAGAAUUAAAUGAGGGGAAUAGGAAUCCCAGAUUUAAGAGUUGUUUUCAGACAGGUGCGAGAGAGCCUGCAAAUGAGGCCGAAAGAUUUUUUGCGGCGAACGAGCUGCUGUUCUGUGUGUUUUGACAUCUUCAAGGACCCUCUUGUCCUGGCAUGCAGCCACAGCUUCUGUAGCAUUUGUGCGCAGGAAUUAUGGGGAAAGAAGAGCUCUCAGGAGUGUCCUCUCUGCAAGAGAAAGUCCUCUCUUUUAAAUCCUCCUGUCUUCAUGCUUUUAAAUAACACAGUGGAGUCCUGCCUGAAGCGGAAGAUUGAGAGUGGAUCUGAAAAGAAGAAUGGAAAACGUUGCUGUCCUCAUGAAGAUAAACUCCUGUUUUUCAAGCAGGAAGCCCAGGAGCCUCUCUGUCAUGUUUCAGACUUCAAAAAACACAGAAACUGCCAGGUCUGUCCAGCGGAGGAGACUGUUCUGGAAAUGAAGCCCACAGGGAGGCAGAUAAACGCCGCUGUUCAGACGUUCUAACAGUUCCUGUGAGAUGAAGAGGAGGCCAGACUAGCUGCAUGGAGGAAAAGAAGCAAAAGAACCAAAUAAUGUUGUGACCUGACUUUGCCAUAUAAGACAAAUCCACAAUUAUAGAAAGGACAUCUCCUUAAAUCAAGCUUAUUAGUGGACAUUUUCCAGUGCAAACAAAACAAAAAAUGAUAAAUCCCAUUUGUUACAGAACAGCGGAUUGUAGCAGUUCAUUUUGGGCUGUUAAUUUUUUUAUGUUAACUAGCUUUCUUUCUAGGUAUUGCCUUUGAAUGCACAGACAGUAUGUCCUCCAUUUUGGAAGUUACUCUUAAGAGAGAGAGAGAGACGCCAUUCUCUAUAUAUUUUGCAUUAUAAAAUGUUUUUUUUAUUAGCAGUGACAAUAUGUAUUUUCUGUGAAAAUGUUCUUUUUUUAAGGAUAAAAUGCUAAUCUUGUGUUGACACAUCUUACACAUUUUGUAAAUCCACAUGUCCAUCGGAUGUAACCCCUCGAGGGGCAAAAUAAGGUCAAAUGAAUUUCUAUAAGUGCUCAUAGUAAAUAAUCGAACUAAAUAUAAAGGCUAAGUUUGGCUAUUCUUGUAUGAAUACCUAAAACCUGUGGUGAUGAAAAUGAAUACAUUCAGAAAUGUAUGAAUUAUUGCCUAAAAUAUAAAAAUGUUGACAGCUGAUCUUGUAUGAAUGUAGUUUCUGAAUGCCAUUGACAUGACUGCAAAAUAAAAUUACAUUUAACUCCA